AUUGAACGCUGGCGGCAGGCCUAACACAUGCAAGUCGAACGGUAGCACAGAGAGCUUGCUCUCGGGUGACGAGUGGCGGACGGGUGAGUAACGUCUGGGAAACUGCCCGAUGGAGGGGGAUAACUACUGGAAACGGUAGCUAAUACCGCAUAACGUCGCAAGACCAAAGUGGGGGACCUUCGGGCCUCACACCAUCGGAUGUGCCCAGAUGGGAUUAGCUAGUAGGUGGGGUAAUGGCUCACCUAGGCGACGAUCCCUAGCUGGUCUGAGAGGAUGACCAGCCACACUGGAACUGGGACACGGUCCAGACUGCUACGGGAGGCAGCAGUGGGGAAUAUUGCACAAUGGGCGCAAGCCUGAUGCAGCCAUGCCGCGUGUAUGAAGAAGGCCUUCGGGUUGUAAAGUACUUUCAGCGGGGAGGAAGGCGGUGAAGUUAAUAACUUCACCGAUUGACGUUACCCGCAGAAGAAGCACCGGCUAACUCCGUGCCAGCCGCCGCCGUAA
rnacentral:rRNA from 1 species